rnacentral:rRNA from 1 species
AGUGAACGCUGGCGGUAGGCCUAACACAUGCAAGUCGAACGGCAGCACAGGAGAGCUUGCUCUCUGGGUGGCGAGUGGCGGACGGGUGAGGAAUACAUCGGAAUCUACUUUUUCGUGGGGGAUAACGUAGGGAAACUUACGCUAAUACCGCAUACGACCUACGGGUGAAAGCAGGGGAUCUUCGGACCUUGCGCGAUUGAAUAAGCCGAUGUCGGAUUAGCUAGUUGGCGGGGUAAAGGCCCACCAAGGCGACGAUCCGUAGCUGGUCUGAGAGGAUGAUCAGCCAGACUGGAACUGAGACACGGUCCAGACUCCUACGGGAGGCAGAAGUGGGGAAUAUUGGACAAUGGGCGCAAGCCUGAUCCAGCCAUACCGCGUGGGUGAAGAAGGCCUUCGGGUUGUAAAGCCCUUUUGUUGGGAAAGAAAUCCAGCUGGUUAAUACCCGGUUGGGAUGACGGUACCCAAAGAAUAAGCACCGGCUAACUUCGUGCCAGCCGCCGCAGUAA